rnacentral:rRNA from 1 species
AUAAACGCUGGCGGCGUGCUUCACACCUGCACGUCGAACGGUGAAGGCGGAGCUUGCUCUGCUGGAUCAGUGGCGAACGGGUGAGUAACACGUGAGCAAUCUGCCCCUGACUCUGGGAUAAGCGCUGGAAACGGCGUCUAAUACUGGAUACGAGCUGCGAAGGCAUCUUCAGCAGCUGGAAAGAACUUCGGUCAGGGAUGAGCUCGCGGCCUAUCAGCUUGUUGGUGAGGUAACGGCUCACCAAGGCGUCGACGGGUAGCCGGCCUGAGAGGGUGACCGGCCACACUGGGACUGAGACACGGCCCAGACUCCUACGGGAGGCAGCAGUGGGGAAUAUUGCACAAUGGGCGAAAGCCUGAUGCAGCAACGCCGCGUGAGGGACGACGGCCUUCGGGUUGUAAACCUCUUUUAGCAGGGAAGAAGCGAAAGUGACGGUACCUGCAGAAAAAGCGCCGGCUAACUACGUG